rnacentral:rRNA from 1 species
UUCCCACUUGCCAUUUGUUGGCGUGCCAUUGCUGGUCGCCGUAUAAGUACCGUCACUGUUGAAGUUGAAAGUGGCAGUGUCGCCUGAUUCCCAGCGACCGAC